rnacentral:rRNA from 1 species
UACGAAGGGGGCUAGCGUUGCUCGGAAUUACUGGGCGUAAAGCGCACGUAGGCGGCUUUCUAAGUCGGGGGUGAAAUCCUGGAGCUCAACUCCAGAACUGCCUUCGAUACUGGAGAGCUUGAGUCCGGGAGGAGGUGAGUGGAACUGCGAGUGUAGAGGUGAAAUCGUAGAAUUAUUCGCAAGAACACCAGGUGGCGAAAGGCGGCCUCAGCUG